AAAAAAGCAGGGCUCUGUUGCCUUCUGUGAACCGAGCUCCCGUAUACUUCAGGAAGAUCACUAGCAUUGUUUUUGGGUGAACCUCUGUACUUUGCAUAUGUUGCAUUUUGUGACUGAAGGUUCAGUUAAUGACGCCACAUUU